CCUACGGGGGGCAGCAGUGAGGAAUCUUGGUCAAUGGGCGCGAGCCUGAACCAGCCAAGUAGCGUGAAGGAUGACUGCCCUACGGGUUGUAAACUCCUUUUAUAAAGGAAUAAAGUGAGGCACGUGUGCCUUUUUGUAUGUACUUUAUGAAUAAGGAUCGCCCAACCCCGUACCAGCAGCCGCGGUAAUACGGAGGAUCAGAGCGUUAUCCGGAUUUAUUGGGUUUAAAGGGGACGAAGAUGGGUUGUUAAGUCAGUUGUGAACGUGUGCGGCUCAACCGUAAAAUUGCAAUUGAUACUGGCAGUCUUGAGUACGGUUGAGGUAGGCGGAAUUCGUGGUGUAGCGGUGAAAUGCGUAGAUAUCACGAAGAACUCCGAUAGCGAAGGCAGCUUACUAAACUGCCACUGACAUUGAUGCUCGAAAGUGUAGGUAGCAAACAGGAUUAGAUACCCGGGUAGUC
rnacentral:rRNA from 1 species